CGCAAUGGACGAAAGUCUGACGGAGCAACGCCGCGUGAGCGAAGAAGGCCUUCGGGUCGUAAAGCUCUGUUGUUAGGGAAGAACAAGUACGAGAGUAACUGCUCGUACCUUGACGGUACCUAACCAGAAAGCCACGGCUAACUACGUGCCAGCAG
rnacentral:rRNA from 1 species